CCUGAGCCUACAGAUCCGCUAAUUCAUUCUCCAAUCCAAUGAUAUAUACAGCAAAAUAACCAAUCAUCAUAGACAAUAGAACCCUUAAGCUUAAAUACAUUAAUCUCCUUUUCUUUUUCUCUUUCUUUUUCUUUUUUAAAUUUAUUUACGCUGCAAGAAUCAGUACUUUAAUUGUACCCUGGCUAUUUGCAGCUAGCAUCGUAGGGCUGUCACUCUUCCAGCAGACAGCACUAAUAAAGUAAGAUCCGGCAUCCUCAUCGGCAUCAUCCAUUUCAGGUGAACCAAAUCUGUGCCAUGUAACAGGUUUGGAGAUUUCCUUGUGGUAGACAAAAACAUCAUUUGUUUCGCUGCCACAUGCAAUGUAAUCAUAGUUUACUGAGAGGCCUACAAAAUUUUUUUCAUUUG
rnacentral:misc_RNA from 1 species